AUGGAUUGCUCCCGCCCGCUCUGGGAGUUCCACUUCCUCGACUUCCCGACCUCAGAGGCCACCUCCACCGUGGUGUUCCGCGUCCACCACUCCCUCGGUGACGGGAUGUCGCUGAUCACGCUCCUCCUGGCGUCUGCCCGCAGCGCCGCGGACCCGACACGCCUGCCGGCCAUGCCGGAGCAGCCGGCGCGCACGGGCGCCAUCUACGAGCCGCGGCACCGGCAGCCGCUGCCCUCGGGCGCCCUGGCGGCGUUCGUCGCAUGGGUUUGGCCGUAUCUUGCGCUUGCAUGGAACACCGUGGUGGACGUCAUCUUCUUUGCUGCGACGAUUGUGUUUCUGAGAGACCCGAACACACUCUUCAGACGCGGGGACAGUCAAGUUACGUUGAACCCCCGCAGGCGCUUCGUGCACCGGAGCUUUAGCUUGGACGACGUCAAGUUCAUCAAGAAUGCCAUGAACUGCACUGUUAAUGAUGUGCUAGUCGGAGUCACUUCUGCUGCUCUAUCACAAUAUUACUUUCGUAAGUCUGGUUACCCUAAGACACGCAAGCUAUGUUUGCGAUGUGUCCUCCCUGUAAAUACAAGGCCAACAGCUAGCCUACAAGCCUAUGUUAAUAUGAUAGAAUCGGGUAAAAGUAAUGACGUGGCAUGGGGAAAUCAAAUAGGCUACAUCCUCCUACCAUUUCAUUUAGCGGUACACGAUGAUCCACUUGCAUAUGUUCGGAUGGCAAAGAAGACCCUGGAUAGAAAAAAGAGCUCACUUGAAGUUAUCUUCACGUAUGAACAACUGAACAAUGCCAUAGCUAUAGACAUCACCCUUGGUUGA
rnacentral:rRNA from 1 species